UGGGGAAUUUUGGACAAUGGGCGAAAGCCUGAUCCAGCAAUGCCGCGUGUGUGAAGAAGGCCUUCGGGUUGUAAAGCACUUUUGUCCGGAAAGAAAUGGCUCUGGUUAAUACCUGGGGUCGAUGACGGUACCGGAAGAAUAAGGACCGGCUAACUACGUGCCAGCAGCCGCGGUAAUACGUAGGGUCCAAGCGUUAAUCGGAAUUACUGGGCGUAAAGCGUGCGCAGGCGGUUGUGCAAGACCGAUGUGAAAUCCCCGAGCUUAACUUGGGAAUUGCAUUGGUGACUGCACGGCUAGAGUGUGUCAGAGGGGGGUAGAAUUCCACGUGUAGCAGUGAAAUGCGUAGAGAUGUGGAGGAAUACCGAUGGCGAAGGCAGCCCCUGGGAUAACACUGACGCUCAUGCACGAAAGCGUGGGGAGCAAACAGGAUUAGAUACCCUGGUAGUCCACGCCCUAAAACGAUGUCAACUAGUUGUUGGGGAUUCAUUUCCUUAGUAACGUAGCUAACGCGUGAAGUUGGACCGCCUGGGGAGUACGGUCGC
rnacentral:rRNA from 1 species